rnacentral:tRNA from 1 species
GUCUCGGUAGUGUAAUGUAUGCAGAGCACGGUGCCUGGAUUGCGCAAUCACGGGUUCAAGUCCCGUCCGAGACC